UAAACACGGAUGUGAAGCUUCUCCUCACUCCAAGCAGCAAUGCGCGCUCAGCGUUCGAUCCAAUGAUCUCGUCUCACGGCGAUUGAAGAUAAAAUUGUCUUGUCUUGUCCAGGGAACGACUUGCCAUGGCUUUGGAUCUCAGAUUUCCAUGAAGUCCCCCUUUCUUUGUGCAGUUGUGCUAGCAAUUUUGGAGCUUGUGGCUAAACAUGGGAGGCCUCUUACUGGGAAGAAAUCUACACUUGACAUCCAGGUUGCUAAGCUACCAGGCUCAACAAUCGAUGUUUGAGGAAGGAUUUUAGUCAAAUGUCAGAUCCUCAGAUGCUGCCGUGCUCCCUUAUCUACGAGCGCCACCAUACCUGAGUGUCUUUGGCAAGUCCUUAUCAUCCUCUCGACAUGAUCUACAGCACCUGCUGCCUGUCACUGAUAGAUGUAAGC